rnacentral:rRNA from 1 species
GAUGAACGCUAGCGGCAGGCCUAACACAUGCAAGUCGAGGGGUAGCAGGAUUAAGCUUGCUUAAUUGCUGACGACCGGCGCACGGGUGCGUAACGCGUAUGCAACCUACCUUAUACUGGGGUAUAGCCCGGAGAAAUUCGGAUUAAUCCCCCAUAGUACUAAUGAAUCGCAUGGUUUAUUAGUUAAAGCAUUGCGGUAUAAGAUGGGCAUGCGUCCUAUUAGCUAGAUGGUGAGGUAACGGCUCACCAUGGCUACGAUAGGUAGGGGGCCUGAGAGGGUGGUCCCCCACACUGGUACUGAGACACGGACCAGACUCCUACGGGAGGCAGCAGUGAGGAAUAUUGGUCAAUGGGCGCAAGCCUGAACCAGCCAUGCCGCGUGCAGGGAGAAUGCCCUAUGGGUUGUAAACUGCUUUUAUUUGGGAAUAAACCUCUUUACGUGUAGAGAGUUGAAGGUACCAAAUGAAUAAGCACCGGCUAACUCCGUGCCAGCCGCCGCGGUAA